UUUCAAACGACUGAUUGAAAAAGCUGAAUCCAAACGAUUCCCUUUCCAAUUCCCCGACGACGUUACAAUCUGCUGUUAUGGCCUUCAGGAAACAAACCCCACAAUCACCUUUGUAUCUUCAAUACGUUGUUUUCAGUUUAUAAUAUAAACCUUCCCAGUUGCCUCUCCAAUUUCCUUCCGAUUCAUCUUCACUUUUAAUUACUCUUAGACAAAGCUUUCCCUAAUGAGAAUUUCGCAGCCUCAAUUAUCCUGAAGGCAGGCAGCCCGGAAUGUCAAAAAAUGAGGUCAAUUGAUGGGCGUCCAUAUGCUGCUGCUAGAUUCCAAGGUAUGUGAGCUUACACCUCCAGUCACGGGCAUAUUAAAAUUUACUCUCUGCUCCAGUUGCAACCAAAGGCAUAAGCGUCAACGAACUUGUGACAUGGAUGGUUUUUGGAGAGGUACCAAAGCGUUGUUGGUUGGAUUCUUAGGGAUGGGAAGGGAGAAAUGAAGUGUCUUAGAGAAGCCUCAUCUAUUUUGAGGUCCUUUACUGUCUUGUGAGAUGAAGCAGAAGCAUUGAUAUGGAGUGUUAUUUGUAUACUUGGGCUAUAAGAAAUUCUGAAUUUUACCACCUUGGCUCUGACCAAUCUGAAGUUAGGGGUGGUCAGCUGUUUCAAGGAAAGUGACGUCUCAUAGUUCAAUUUAUACUUUUGUUUGCUUAGCGUGUGGUAUAAAUAUUGAUGAAUAGCGGAAGAAAACAGAGAUUUUAGUAAGCAUCGCAGAUGGAUUCUGUUAAUGGUGUGAGUUUCGAGUUCGGCGAAGCAAAUGGUUUACUCUAAAAGUUUGCGGGAGAAAAGCCUAUGUAAAAGUCAGUGGAAUCUCUUGAAGCAGAACUGAAGAAUGUGAAGAAAUAGCACAGUGGAGCUGAAAUCGAAUAAAUGGGUAGAGAUCUCCAUCCGGAGCGUAGCAAAAGUGAGACUGACCUAGAACAAUGUGUGGCAGAAAAAUCUGAAGCAAACGCCGCUUACGAAGUUAUCUUCGAGAUAGAAGCUGCUCGACGAGAAGUUGAGCUACAUUUUGAGGGUCGCACUAGAUAAAGUCGAGGAAGCAAAAGCUGCCGCGGUAUGUGCUUGACCACAUAAAGUCAAUGUCUGAAAAUUCAACAGUUGCCCGAAUUUGUAAUACCGCGCCAUCUGAGUGUGGAGCUAAGAGCAUCACACUAUGUCUGGAGGAUUUUAAGUCGCUGAGCGAAGGAGCUAAGCAAUUCGAUAAGUUGGUGAAUAUGAAAGUGGCAGCUGCGCUGGCUCAGGUAGGCGCAGUUAGAGCUAGCGAAAUCAAGACACUGAGGCACACAAGAGGAGAUUGAGAAGCUAAAGACUGCAACAGAAGACACACUGGAUAAAGCACCCAGGGCUGAUGCUGCUGAGUAUGCAGUUGAAGGAGAACUCAGGAGGUGUCAGGUAAGAUAUCUGAAUAAAGCACAGAGGAAGCAGCUUCGAGGAUUAUUGCAAAGGCUGAGGCGAUGAUUCCGCUGAAUCUUCACCGCAAAGUCACUACAAAGCUACGAAACGUAAACAAAUCCACACAAACUCGAGAAGACAAAAACUUUUGUGGUAUAUAAAAGUGGUUUUACCGAAUUUAAGUGUAAUAGUUAAUAGAAAUAAGAAUCAAGUGGAAUGGGGUUCUCCUUAUCUCUAUGGAGAGAAAUCCUUUUUGAUGUAUACUUUCUUUUUAAGAGUUGAGAACUUUCGUU